GCCAGCAUGGCAUAGUGGUUUGAGUGUUGGACUGCAAUUCCAGAAACCAGUGUUCAGUUCCCAGCUCUGCUA